UGGGGAAUAUUGCACAAUGGGCGCAAGCCUGAUGCAGCAACGCCGCGUGAGGGACGACGGCCUUCGGGUUGUAAACCUCUUUUAGCAGGGAAGAAGCGAAAGUGACGGUACCUGCAGAAAAAGCGCCGGCUAACUACGUGCCAGCAGCCGCGGUAAUACGUAGGGCGCAAGCGUUAUCCGGAAUUAUUGGGCGUAAAGAGCUCGUAGGCGGUUUGUCGCGUCUGCUGUGAAAUCCGGAGGCUCAACCUCCGGCCUGCAGUGGGUACGGGCAGACUAGAGUGCGGUAGGGGAGAUUGGAAUUCCUGGUGUAGCGGUGGAAUGCGCAGAUAUCAGGAGGAACACCGAUGGCGAAGGCAGAUCUCUGGGCCGUAACUGACGCUGAGGAGCGAAAGGGUGGGGAGCAAACAG
rnacentral:rRNA from 1 species